AGCGAACGCUGGCGGCAGGCUUAACACAUGCAAGUCGAACGCAUCCUUCGGGGUGAGUGGCAGACGGGUGAGUAACACGUGGGAACGUACCUUUUUGUUCGGAAUAACUCAGGGAAACUUGAGCUAAUACCGGAUACGCCCUUAGGGGGAAAGAUUUAUCGCAGAAAGAUCGGCCCGCGUCUGAUUAGCUAGUUGGUGAGGUAAAGGCUCACCAAGGCGACGAUCAGUAGCUGGUCUGAGAGGAUGAUCAGCCACACUGGGACUGAGACACGGCCCAGACUCCUACGGGAGGCAGCAGUGGGGAAUGUUGGACAAUGGGCGCAAGCCUGAUCCAGCCAUGCCGCGUGAGUGAUGAAGGCCCUAGGGUUGUAAAGCUCUUUCGGCGGGGACGAUAAUGACGGUACCCGCAGAAGAAGCCCCGGCUAACUUCGUGCCAGCCGCCGCCGUAAUAC
rnacentral:rRNA from 1 species